rnacentral:pre_miRNA from 1 species
ACCUUGUUGGCCAGGAUGGUCUCGAUCUCUUCACCUCGUGAUCUGCCCGCCUUGGCCUCCCGCAGAGCUGGGAUUACAGGCGUGAGCCACCGCACCAGGCCCAUGUCAUAUGUUUUUAUGAGUUUGGACAUUGGCAUCUGGGACCAGGUACUUCAUCUGGAUUUGAACCACAAUGUGGGUGUUUGUUUUUAAUACCUUUGUGAAAUAAUUUUAAAUUGCCUUAUAUAUUUGGCAUUGUCACUUUGCUGCCCCUACACACUGAUGGAAAAAUUGUGUUCUGCAGAAAACUAGAGUUCCUCACAGGGUGAGGAAGAGUUAUGGUCAUCUGCACAGUUGUAGCCCGUUGCGAGUGUUUUCCCAUGUGCACAGUGAUAUCUAGGCAAGUGUGCCAUGAUUUCCUGGUGAGGAUAAAAUCUAUGGACGGUGAGAGAACUAGUCAAGGAAUAACUGAAGUGAGCUGCAGACAGGAUUAUCAUUUUGAGUAACAUCCCAAUGUAUUUGUCAUCCUUUAAUUAAUUUUUAUUUUUUUAAUUAAAAAAUAAUUUUUAAGUGUAAACCUUUAAUGAUCCACAAAGCCCAAAAUGUCCAUUUGAUUUUCAUAGGUAUCGUUUCCAUAUGCUUAGACUUCCAGCAGCUAUUAGAAGAGA